rnacentral:rRNA from 1 species
AUGGCUCAGGAUGAACGCUAGCGGCAGGCUUAACACAUGCAAGUCGAGGGGCAUCGGGAGUAGCAAUACUUGCCGGCGACCGGCGCAAGGGUGCGUAACGCGUGAGCAACAUGCCCGUAUCAGGGGGGAUAAUCCAUGGAAACGUGGUCUAAUACCCCAUAGUAAUUAUGUAAGGCAUCUUAUAUAAUUUAAAGCUUUGGUGGAUACGGAUUGGCUCGCGUGACAUUAGCUGGAUGGUAAGGUAACGGCUUACCAUGGCUACGAUGUCUAGGGGUUCUGAGAGGAAGGUCCCCCACACUGGAACUGAGACACGGUCCAGACUCCUACGGGAGGCAGCAGUGAGGAAUAUUGGACAAUGGAUGGAAAUCUGAUCCAGCCAUGCCGCGUGCAGGAAGACGGCCCUAUGGGUUGUAAACUGCUUUUGUAUGGGAGCAAUAAGGGCUACGCGUAGUCCGAUGAGAGUACCAUACGAAUAAGCACCGGCUAACUCCGUGCCAGCCGCUGC